UGCGUAGGCGGAACUUUAAGUCAGUGGUGAAAUCCUGCGGCUCAACCGUAGAACUGCCAUUGAUACUGAAGUUCUUGAAUGCAGUUGAGGUAGGCGGAAUGUGUAAUGUAGCGGUGAAAUGCUUAGAUAUUACACAGAACACCGAUUGCGAAGGCAGCUUGCUAAACUGUGAUUGACGCUGAUGCACGAAAGCGUGGGGAGCGAACAGGAUUAGAUACCCUGGUAGUC
rnacentral:rRNA from 1 species